UCCCGUUCAGGCCUUUAAACCCCUCGUCAAACCCUCUUCGUCCAACCGCGCGUAGCCGCGUACCCAUUGGUUCUGUGUUUUCUUUCAAAACCGCACGGCUGGCGGCGGCUCAGUGCCGAGCGUCCCGCAGUGAUCCCCGCCUCCACUCCCCGCUCUAUCUGUCUUCUUCCCUAGGUCGCAAGCUGUCCGCAUCUGCCUCCACACCGCCUACUGGCCUUCUCCAGACGGUCAUUCUCCCUGCCUCCAACCUCCGUGCCGGGCAGCGACCCACAGCCGCUCCUGCACCUCAGCAUGAAGCACCGGCGCAUCUUCCAACCCCCAUCGUGCCCGAGCCGCCUUGGUAGCCAUGGUCUUCGUUCAGGGGGAUGGGCUCGGGAGGAGGAGUGGAGGGGAAUGCAGGUGGCCAGGGGCAGCCAAGCAUUCGGGAGGGGGGAGGGGGCAGGGAGAAUUGGGAGGCUGUGGAUGACCUCGAUGCCAUUUCUAGAGAGAGAGAGAAGGAAUCACGAAUAGGGGGAUUGGUGGUCUAUGUACUUAUCUGCGCGCUGCACCCAAGAUAUUCGACAAAAUGCAUAGCCAGGAUUGGCGGCCAAAGCCUGCGGUUGAAGCUAUGGCAAACUUGAGCAAGCUCAUGGGCGGCAUUCUCUCAGACAUGGUGUCGGGGGAUCAACAUGAGUUGAGUGAUACUCUGGCUCGAGAUUGCAAUCAAGACCAGCAAGCUCUAGCCAAGUCAAGAGGUCAUCAAAACAAGAUUGCGUUAUGAGUUUAGCAUCUAGAAAGGGAUUACAAUAAGUUGUUUGACGUCAUUUACUUGUCAGGUAAUCACAAGUCUUUAUAUUUUGGUAGCAGAAAUAAAAGACGAUGAUAUCUAUGAAAUUUCAGUGCCGAGCUUUGUGCAUUACUACAGAAAAUCAAUGCACUUCUGUGCUUCUUGGGAGUAUAGGUAUCUCAUAUUGUCUUGGGAGCAAAGUUCAAGAUUCAAUUAUUUCUGUUUUUUGUUUCGAAAUUGGCAUGUCAGGUUCUCAAGGGUAAAGUGAUUCUUAUGUUGUGUAGUGCCAACAUUCAUAUCUUGAAUCAUGGUAACAUGGCAUACGAUCAUUAGUUUUCAAAUAAUAUUUUUGACAAAUUAGCUAUUGUCCCCCAAUCUUGAAAACAUAUGUAUUCAUGUUGCUUCUCAAUCUCGUGGGCACUUAGCUGAGGAGUUGUUGACUGCCAUCUUCAAUCGCACGAGUCUCUCGUCAUUGACAAAUAUUUUUUCGCUUAUGCCUUCACAAUUACAGUAUUAUUUUGUCCUAACUCAUAUUUGUGGUUGACUUCAUAUUCGCCUACCUCUGUCAGAGGAUGGAUCCACAUCCUGCACAAGAAUGAUUUGAGGUAAUGCUUCGAGGUAUCCACUCUAGCAGACUAUCUCUCUUUGUCCUAACUCAUAUUUGUGGUUGACUUGAUAUUCGCCUACCUCUGUCAGAGGAUGGAUCCACAUCCUGCACAAGAAUGAUUUGAGAUGAACUAUAGGGAUUUCAUGCGGUCUCCUCUCCAGGUGAUGAUUAUUUUUUGCCUAUCGUUGGUUUCUGAUCAUCUGAAGCUAUUAUUCCUUGCAAGUAAUGAGACAUAUGGCUUUUCUUUUCCUUUUGGCAGCCUCCUGUGUAUAUGAGACUUUCAAGAAAGAUACUGUGGAAUAUACACAGGUUUUUGUUAUAUAUUGGGAAUCUGUAAAUACUUUUUCUUCUUCGAGAAAACGCAAAAGCAUUGUGUCUCAUUGUAUUGAAAAGGUGAUCUGUAAAUACUAUAAUGCUAUAAUUUUAAAGAAGCAUCCCCAUGAUUCUUGGUCCUUUGUUGAUUUUGAAAAGAGCUUAUGUUGCUAUCAUUGUGAUACAUGUUAUAACACACAUCUCAGUUGUCUUUCCUAUAUGGUUAGUUCCUGGAAAUGGCCAUUGUAAGUUAACUGGAAAUAGUUCUACUGUGCGAGCUGGUUUCUUGCUGUUCAAACUGACCCAAAUUUGAUAACUUAUGAUCCUCUGCAUGAUUAGCAACGAAAAUUGUGUUUGACUGGUGAGUUCCUUUUGCUUCGCAGGUAGAGCUGCUUUCCGGGUGGCAAGAUAAUUUUAUCUGCGUGAUAUCUUUGUGAUCUGAUCACCGGCUAGGGAUUUUGGCGUUCAUGACAACGAAUGGCCUUCACAACUGCUCCAUUUGUGUCAGGUUAAAUGAAAAACUGGUGAAGGACAGCCCUAAAACUGUUACAAGAGGCUGCAUUUUGGAGGAAGAUUUGCAGAAGCUCAUUUCCGUGUCAAAAGUUAUUGCGACAUAAGUGCAUAUUAGUUUCUCUUGAUUUUGAGCAUAUGUUUACUUUUUUCUCCUUGUGUCUUUGUCCUCCUCUCUUCUUUGUCCUCUCCUUGGUUGAACACAUAGUUGUAGUCUCAAUAUUACCGUCGAGUCGAGGGAGGGGGGCAGCACCUUCUAGAAAUGUCGUCCCCUAAGAGAGCGGGAAAGAGGUAUUGCUCGUAUGGCACCAAGGGAAGAGAGGAAAUCCAUUGAUCCCGUUACUGCUUCUUGUCGGUCGUCCAUGUGGUUUGCCUCAUCCUUCUCUUUUUUCUUCUCCUCUCCUGCUGCUUCUCAUCUCG